rnacentral:rRNA from 1 species
CGGUCGACCGGCGCACGGGUGAGUAACGCGUAUCCAACCUGCCCACCACUUGGGGAUAACCUUGCGAAAGUAAGACUAAUACCCAAUGAUAUCUCUAGAAGACAUCUGAAAGAGAUUAAAGAUUUAUCGGUGAUGGAUGGGGACGCGUCUGAUUAGCUUGUUGGCGGGGUAACGGCCCACCAAGGCAACGAUCAGUAGGGGUUCUGAGAGGAAGGUCCCCCACAUUGGAACUGAGACACGGUCCAA